GUGAACGCUGGCGGUAGGCCUAACACAUGCCAGUCGAACGGCAGCACAGUAAGAGCUUGCUCUUACGGGUGGCGAGUGGCGGACGGGUGAGGAAUACAUCGGAAUCUACUUUUUCGUGGGGGAUAACGUAGGGAAACUUACGCUAAUACCGCAUACGACCUACGGGUGAAAGCAGGGGAUCUUCGGACCUUGCGCGAUUGAAUGAGCCGAUGUCGGAUUAGCUAGUUGGCGGGGUAAAGGCCCACCAAGGCGACGAUCCGUAGCUGGUCUGAGAGGAUGAUCAGCCACACUGGAACUGAGACACGGUCCAGACUCCUGCGGGAGGCAGCAGUGGGGAAUAUUGGACAAUGGGCGCAAGCCUGAUCCAGCCAUACCGCGUGGGUGAAGAAGGCCUUCGGGUUGUAAAGCCCUUUUGUUGGGAAAGAAAAGCAGCAGGUUAAUACCCCGCUGUUCUGACGGUACCCAAAGAAUAAGCACCGGCUAACUUCGUG
rnacentral:rRNA from 1 species